UAUAAGCCUAAAUAAAUAGCAGAAGCAUUGCCAAAUAGAAAUGGGAAUUAUUCGUUUCGAGGUGAAGACAAGGAGUCGAAAGCAGCAAGAAUAUAAAUAGGAGCGGACAAGGUUAAACUUGAGUUCAGGCUUUUCGGCUGGGCAGGCUAACAACGUAUAGGAGUAGGAGUCCAAAUUGUCAAAUAUAUAUGGGAAUGCAAGAAUAUACAUUCCAGCUGAUUAGCUUAAGCUUGCACGUUUUCAUGAGCUUGGAUUUGCCUAUCUCAUCCAGGCCCAGCUGGUACGAGUGUUGUUGCCACCGACAAAGCCAGAAGUCGCAGAGAGGCUGAUGCUGAGAAGAGGAAGAGUUAUUGAUGAAUUCUUCGACGAUGUACAGAGGGAAAACUACGCCGCUUGAUUCAUUGACAAGUAAAGUGCACCAAACAGGAUUGGUUCCACCAAGUUUAUAAUCUUCAGAGUCUGAGCACCGUUUUAGAAACUCUUUGAUGUUGUCGCGAAAAGAACGGGAAAAGUCCAUACUGGAAUCAUCGAUGGAGGAGAAGCGAGAAGUGCAGAUGAUCUUCUUUGGAGUUCGUUUUCUUUUCUUGCAAGCUUCAAAUACGGUUAUCGCCAUUUUGGUAGUGAGAGGAGAGUGAAAGAAGAAAAACUAUUCAAGAAAAAGAAGAGAAGUAGAAAAGGGGGAUUACACGACUAGUCCUUCCUAUUUUAUAGGCGGGAGAACUUACAUGGGUUGGGUUGGGUUGGGUUGAGAGCAGUGGUAUAUUUGUAAUUGUAAGAGGAAAGGAAAAGUAACUAACUUGAUUGUUGUUGCUUAUUGCGGUUCUCUCUCUCACGUUUUUUGAAGAUUGUUGUGGGCUCAUAUUUGGCAUCUUUUUUUUUUUUUUGAACAUAGGCAUUUCUUCUGUUUGGUUGCUGGGAAAACCCUCAAGGAUGUUUGUGAAUUUUACUUUUCCUUUCUUAAUGUCCACUUCUGAUCGUUCCACCUAAUUUGGGAACAAUA